rnacentral:rRNA from 1 species
UACGUAGGGUGCGAGCGUUGUCCGGAAUUAUUGGGCGUAAAGAGCUUGUAGGCGGUUUGUCGCGUCUGCUGUGAAAUCUCAAGGCUCAACCUUGAGCUUGCAGUGGGUACGGGCAGACUAGAGUGUGGUAGGGGAGACUGGAAUUCCUGGUGUAGCGGUGAAAUGCGCAGAUAUCAGGAGGAACACCGAUGGCGAAGGCAGGUCUCCUGGGCCGUA